UAGUUUUUCUGGUUAGAAGUUUACAUAAGUUCAGUCCUUGUGAUUUCAUUUUAAUUUAAAUGGUCAUUAAAGUCACGAUUUUCUUUCCAGAGGUCCUUCCGUCAAUUUUCUCUGUUAAAAUACUGAUGUGGCCGUUAAAAACAUUAAAAAUUUUAACAGCCACCUCAGCAAUUUAACCGAGAAAAUUGAUGGAAAGACUAUUUGAAAAGAAAAUCGUGACUUUAAGGACCAUUCAGAUUAAAAUAAAACCAAAAGGACUAAACAUAUGUCGACUUCAAACUACAUAGACUAUAUAGUAUUUAACCCUAAAGAAAAUUAAGAACAACUCCACACAUAACUUGCUAGCGAUGAAAGAGAAGCUAGCAAAUUGAUGAACUAUCUCCACCAUCAUAAGGCUUCAUCAUCUGGGAUUGAUUCUGCAUGCUCUGGUCAUAAUCUAUGCUGGUUAUGACUUCACCUUCAUCACUUCUAACAUCAACAACGUAAGCGUUUGAAGGUGACGCUGCAAGCAAGUAAUCGGUCUCUGGUUAUGACUUCACCUUCAUUACUUCUAACAUCAACAACGUAAGCGUUUGAAGGUGACGCUGCAAGCAAGUAAUCGGUCUCUUUGGGGGAGGAGUCAGGCUUUCCUCCUGCCAUAACAGCCAGUAUUGCCUCUAGCUCCAUUGCUACUUCUUUCAUGGUAGGUCUAUCUCCUCCUCCUGGAUGCUUUGCCAUAACAGCCAGUAUUGCCUCUAGCUCCAUUGCUACUUCUUUCAUGGUAGGCCUAUCUGCUCCUUUCAAACUUAAACAUCUUUUGGCGAGAUGGGCUACUUGUUCAGCUAUUUCAAAGCUUCCCUCCUUGAUAAUUUCAAGAACAAGAAUAUGAGCCAAGCGAUUCUCUUCCACCGACUUUACAAAACAGUUCGCUAUGUUUCUCUCUGCCUCAGGCUUCUUGUGAGAAAUUGCCACUUGGCACGUUAUAAGCUCGACAAGAACAACGCCGAAACUAUAGACAUCACUUUUCUCCGUCAGUGUGUUUGAUUGAAGAUAUUCAGGGUCCAAGCAGUACCAUAGCGUGCCUCGCACUAAAGUAUAUAAACAGCAGCUCAAGCCAACCACACACACACAUAUACACACACGCAAUGCUAAUAAGGUAAGGAUCUCUUUAGCUUAGUUAUUAGCUAAGGUACAGAUUUCUUUAUUCGACCUAUUUUUUUAUCACAUUUUCUCAUCUUAGCCGUUCAAUAUCUAGGUAUAUAUGAGUAGAUCAUCUCUACAAAUUUUCAACCAAAUUGAUAAUGGUUAAGGCAUUCAAAACUGUGAUUUAGAGUUAAAAGAACGUACGGUUCAGGAUGAACAGAUUUCAUUCGUUCAUUGAUUUAAUACAUUUUCGAUACCUUAACGAUAACCAAAUUAGCUGAAAAUUUACAGAGAUGAUCUAAUUAUGUAUAUCUAUAUACUGAACGGCUAUGAUGAGAAAAUAUGAACGGAAAGUAGGUCAAAUUAAGAAAAUUACGUACUUAACUAAGGUAAGGAGUCCUUAUUUGAAAAAGGACUAAUAUAUAUAUAUAUAUAUAUAUAUAUAUAUAUAU
rnacentral:lncRNA from 1 species